GUAUAAGUGCAGUGGCAGUAUCGUAGCUAAUGAGGUUAAUCCGAGGUGCGAUUAUUGCUAGGUGAAAACAUUUGAGCAUGUUAA
rnacentral:snRNA from 1 species